UACGUAGGGUGCGAGCGUUGUCCGGAAUUAUUGGGCGUAAAGGGCUCGUAGGCGGUCUGUUGCGUCUGCUGUGAAAACUCGGGGCUUAACCCCGAGCCUGCAGUGGAUACGGGCAGACUAGAGGUAGGUAGGGGAGAAUGGAAUUCCCGGUGUAGCGGUGAAAUGCGCAGAUAUCGGGAGGAACGACCGGUGGCGAAGGCGGUUCUCUGGGCCUUACCUGACGCUGAGGAGCGAAAGCGUGGGGAGCGAACAGG
rnacentral:rRNA from 1 species